CCUCUAAGCUACCAUUUUGUAAAUCAAGCUGCUUUUGCAGGUGGCUAUGCUCUGCCAUGAUCUUGCUGGAAUCUUGUCUGCUGUUUUGGAAUAUGG